rnacentral:misc_RNA from 1 species
UACGAAGGGGGCUAGCGUUGCUCGGAUUUACUGGGCGUAAAGGGCGCGUAGGCGGAUGACCAAGUUGGGGGUGAAAGCCCGGGGCUCAACCUCGGAAUUGCCUUCAAAACUGGUUGUCUUGAGUAUGGGAGAGGUGUGUGGAACUCCGAGUGUAGAGGUGAAAUUCGUAGAUAUUCGGAAGAGCACCAGUGGCGAAGGCGACACACUGGCCCAUUACUGACGCUGAGGCGCGAAAGCGUGGGGAGCAAACAGG